rnacentral:rRNA from 1 species
GGACUACCGGGGUAUCUAAUCCUGUUUGCUCCCCACGCGGUCGUGGCUCAGCGUCAGGUACGCGCCAGCACCCCGGCUGCCCCACGGGUAUUCUUCCUGAUCUCUACACAUUUCACUGCUCCACCAGGAGUUCUAGGUGCCUCUCACGCCCUCCAGCGACGCCGUUUCCCCGGUCCCCGCCCGGUUGAGCCGGGCGAUUUCACCGCAGGACGCACGCCACCGCCUGCCCACGCUUUACGCCCAGUAACUCCGGACAACGCUCGCCUCCUACGUAUUACCGCGGCGGCUGGCAC